rnacentral:rRNA from 1 species
CAAAGGAUCCCUAGUAACGGCGAGUGAAGAGGGAAGAGCCCAAGAUUGAAAGCUGGCGUCUUCGGCGUCCGCAUUGUAAUCUCAAGAAGUGUUUUCCGCUUCGGACCAUGCCUAAGUCCCUUGGAAAAGGGCAUCAUAGAGGGUGAUAAUCCCGUACAUGGCAUGGAGCGCCCGAAGCUUUGUGAUACGCUUUCUAAGAGUCGAGUUGUUUGGGAAUGCAGCUCAAAAUGGGUGGUAAAUGCCAUCUAAGGCUAAAUAUUGGGGAGAGACCGAUAGCGAACAAGUACAGUGAUGGAAAGAUGAAAAGAACUUUGAAAAGAGAGUUAAACAGUACGUGAAAUUGCCAAAAGGGAAGGGUAGGAGGUCAGAGAUGCGGCCUGGGAUUCAGCCUUGCUUUUGCUUGGUGUUUUUCCCAGAUUGCAGGCCAACGUCGGUUUUGGGCACUGGAGAAGGGUAGGAGGAACGUGGCACCUCUCGGGGUGUGUUAUAGCCUCCUACUGGAUACAGCGACCGAGACCGAGGACAGCAGCGUACUCGCAAGAGCGGGCCUUCGGGCACCUUUACGCUUAGGGCGUUGGCAUAAUGGCCCUCUACCACCCGUCUUGAACCACGGACCAAA